AGUAACGCGUAGGCAACCUGCCUCUAAGAUGGGACACAGUCCGAAAGGACUGCUAAUACCGAAUGUGUCGAGUUUUCCGCAUGGGAAGCUCAUUAAAGAUGGCCUCUACUUGUAAGCUAUCACUUAGAGAUGGGCCUGCGUCUGAUUAGCUGGUUGCGGGUAACGGCCCACCAAGGCGACGAUCAGUAGCCGGUCUGAGAGGAUGAACGGCCACAUUGGGACUGAGACACGGCCCAGACUCCUACGGGAGGCAGCAGUGGGGAAUCUUCCGCAAUGGGCGAAAGCCUGACGGAGCAACGCCGCCGUGAGUGAAGAAGGUCUUCGGAUCGUAAAGCUCUGUCGAAGGGGACGAACGUGGGUUCUAUCAACAACGGAACCUAAUGACGGUACCUUUCAAGAAAGCCACGGCUAACUACGUGCCAGCCGCCGC
rnacentral:rRNA from 1 species